CAAUAGCGUAUAUUAAAGUUGUUGCGGUUAAAAAGCUCGUAGUUGGAUUUCUGCUUAGUGCGACCGGUCCGCCUUUGGGUUGGUAUCAGGUUCGCUCCGAGCAUUUUCCUGGGAAACAUGGCUGCGCCUCGUUGCGUGGCCUGUUACCUGGGUCUUUUACUUUGAGGAAAUUUAGAGUGUUUCAAGCAGGCGUUUAGCCUUGAAUACAUUAGCAUGGAAUAAUACGAUAGGACUUUGGUUCUGUCUUGUUGGUUUCUGGAACCGAGGUAAUGAUUAAUAGGGAUAGUCGGGGCAUUCGUACUUAACUGUCAGAGGUGAAAUUCUUGGAUUUGU
rnacentral:rRNA from 1 species